rnacentral:rRNA from 1 species
AUGAACGCUAGCUACAGGCUUAACACAUGCAAGUCGAGGGGCAUCAGGAAGAAAGCUUGCUUUCUUUGCUGGCGACCGGCGCACGGGUGAGUAACACGUAUCCAACCUGCCCUUUACUCGGGGAUAGCCUUUCGAAAGAAAGAUUAAUACCCGAUAGCAUAAUGAUUCCGCAUGGUUUCAUUAUUAAAGGAUUCCGGUAAAGGAUGGGGAUGCGUUCCAUUAGGUUGUUGGUGAGGUAACGGCUCACCAAGCCUUCGAUGGAUAGGGGUUCUGAGAGGAAGGUCCCCCACAUUGGAACUGAGACACGGUCCAAACUCCUACGGGAGGCAGCAGUGAGGAAUAUUGGUCAAUGGGCGGUAGCCUGAACCAGCCAAGUAGCGUGAAGGAUGAAGGCUCUAUGGGUCGUAAACUUCUUUUAUAUAAGAAUAAAGUGCAGUAUGUAUACUGUUUUGUAUGUAUUAUAUGAAUAAGGAUCGGCUAACUCCGUGCCAGCAGCCGCGGUAAUACGGAGGAUCCGAGCGUUAUCCGGAUUUAUUGGGUUUAAAGGGAGCGUAGGUGGACUGGUAAGUCAGUUGUGAAAGUUUGCGGCUCAACCGUAAAAUUGCAGUUGAUACUGUCAGUCUUGAGUACAGUAGAGGUGGGCGGAAUUCGUGGUGUAGCGGUGAAAUGCUUAGAUAUCACGAAGAACUCCGAUUGCGAAGGCAGCUCACUGGACUGCAACUGACACUGAUGCUCGAAAGUGUGGGUAUCAAACAGGAUUAGAUACCCUGGUAGUCCACACAGUAAACGAUGAAUACUCGCUGUUUGCGAUAUACAGUAAGCGGCCAAGCGAAAGCAUUAAGUAUUCCACCUGGGGAGUACGCCGGCAACGGUGAAACUCAAAGGAAUUGACGGGGGCCCGCACAAGCGGAGGAACAUGUGGUUUAAUUCGAUGAUACGCGAGGAACCUUACCCGGGCUUAAAUUGCAGUGGAAUGAUGUGGAAACAUGUCAGUGAGCAAUCACCGCUGUGAAGGUGCUGCAUGGUUGUCGUCAGCUCGUGCCGUGAGGUGUCGGCUUAAGUGCCAUAACGAGCGCAACCCUUAUCUUUAGUUACUAACAGGUCAUGCUGAGGACUCUAGAGAGACUGCCGUCGUAAGAUGUGAGGAAGGUGGGGAUGACGUCAAAUCAGCACGGCCCUUACGUCCGGGGCUACACACGUGUUACAAUGGGGGGUACAGAAGGCAGCUAGCGGGUGACCGUAUGCUAAUCCCAAAAGCCUCUCUCAGUUCGGAUCGAAGUCUGCAACCCGACUUCGUGAAGCUGGAUUCGCUAGUAAUCGCGCAUCAGCCACGGCGCGGUGAAUACGUUCCCGGGCCUUGUACACACCGCCCGUCAAGCCAUGGGAGCCGGGGGUACCUGAAGUACGUAACCGCAAGGAUCGUCCUAGGGUAAAACUGGUGACUGGGGCU